AAAUUACUCCUAUAACAGCAAAACAAGGAGCUACAUGAGGAACGUGUGGAAGAAAACGGACUUAAGUAAUGGACAAAACAACAAAGGGCAGAAGGGUUGUCGUCCUGCUGGAAGGUGAACGUCUACCUAAGUCUCAAGCCUUUUCUAGCCUCCAACAGAUUUUCCUCCAGGAUCAGGAACAGCUUUUUUUCACCAGGACUGCCCUGUAUUUAGCUUCAUCAUCGAUCCCAUCAGCUCUGACUAUCUGCCAAGUACCUGCUGAAGAAAAGCCCGGCCCGCCAUAAUGCUGCCACCACCAUCUUUCACCAUAUUACAUGACAUUUAUAUUAAUGCAUUAAUUUUAAUAUGUUAAUAGGUUUCCAAAUGACAUUUGUCAAGAAAACAUUGUUUGAGAAAAGAAUCCUGAGAAGUAUGUUUAAUUAGUAUUCAAUGGUAAUG